GUUUGAUCCUGGCUCAGAAUGAACGCUGGCGGCGUGGCUAAAACAUGCAAGUCGGACGCGAACGUUCUCUUCGGAGAACUAUUAGAGUGGCGAAAGGGCGAGGAAUACACGGGUAACGUACCCCAGGCACAAGGAUAGCUACGGGAAACUGUAGGUAAUACUUGAUGAGACCACGGUGUCAUAUGGCACAGUGAUCAAAGGGCGGGGAUCUCUUCGGAGACCUGCCGGCCAGGGAGCGGCCCCUGUGCUAUCAGCUAGUUGGUGAGGUAAUGGCUCACCAAGGCGACGACGGCUACCGGGACUGAGAGGUCGAUCCGGCGCAUCGGGACUGAGACACUGCCCGGACUCCUACGGGAGGCUGCAGUAACGAAUAUUCCACAAUGGACGAAAGUCUGAUGGAGCGACGCCGCGUGCAGGAGGAAGCCCUUCGGGGUGUAAACUGCUGUCAGGGAUUACCAAGCAAGCAGGCCUAAUAUGUCUGUGCGUUGAGGAGUCCCACAGGAAGUCACGGCUAACUUCGUGCCAGCAGCCGCGGUAAUACGAAGGUGGCGAGCGUUAUUCGAAAUCACUGGGCUUAAAGAGCAUGUAGGCGGCCUAUCAAGCGUUGUGUGAAAUCCCUCGGCUCAACCGAGGAACUGCAUGGCGAACUGGUAGGCUUGAGGCAAGUAGGGGCGAGUGGAACUCUUGGUGGAGCGGUGGAAUGCGUAGAUAUCAAGAGGAACGUCGGAGGCGAAGGCGACUCGCUGGGCUUGACCUGACGCUGAGAUGCGAAAGCUAGGGUAGCGAACGGGAUUAGAUACCCCGGUAGUCCUAGCCCUAAACGAUGUCAACUAGGUCGGAGGUUCUCUGACGGAGUUCCGGCCGAAGCAAAAGUGUUAAGUUGACCGCCUGGGGAGUACGGUCGCAAGGCUAAAACUCAAAGGAAUUGACGGGGGCUCACACAAGCGGUGGAGCAUG
rnacentral:rRNA from 1 species